AGAAACUUAGGUUAACCCAAACCGAAGGCCUUCAAAGCCUUAAAUAAGAGUUAAACCCUCUUAGCUUCUG
rnacentral:tRNA from 1 species